rnacentral:rRNA from 1 species
GACGAACCGUCCAAACGUUGUUCGGAAUCACUGGGCUUAAAGGGAGCGUAGGCGGGCUGCCAAGUCCGGGGUGAAAUCCUCCAGCUCAACUGGAGAACUGCCUCGGAUACUGGAAGUCUCGAGGAGGGUAGGGGCAUGCGGAACCGUGGGUGGAGCGGUGAAAUGCGUUGAUAUCAUUUGGAACGCCAAUGGUGAAAACAGGUAGCUGGGAGUGUGCUGACACUGAGACACGAAAGCCAGGGGAGCGAACGGG